AGCCGACGCAGUCGAAACAACGUUUAACGGUGAUCAGUAUGAGAUCGAAAUCGGCCGCAGUUGGUUGUACGUAAUGUGCGUCGUGUUGCUUGUUGUCGUAGUCGUAGUCGCCGUUCAGCUUUCAAUUCCAAUUCAGUUAGUCGAUCGCCGUCGUCGCCGCCAGAGUAGCAGCAGCAGCAGUAACGACAAUAUGCACUUCUAAAUAUCAACAACAAAAAUAAAGGUCUUUUUACAUAUUUUCGUUGCGUUUCAUCUCGUUUUUCGGUUUCGCGUGUUCUGUGUGUGUGUGCUCCAGUGCGUUGUUGCUAAGAGUGUUUUUUUCCUGCCCAAAAUGAUUCAAAAUCAAACAAAUGCAACACGUAAAUAAGAAAGAAGUGAGAUAAAAAAGUCCUCUCGCAACGUGCUUGCUGUGUAUGCGCGCGCGUGUUCUGUGUUUAUAUAUGCAUACAUAUAUAUGUAAAUAUGUCUGUGUGUUUGUAAAGCGCAGCUGAUUUUUAAAUACGAAAUUUUUAAUAACGCUCAACUCGUCGUCUCCCUGUCAUCUCCCCCACAUCUGCCCCGCCCCCAGCAAAGCAACUUGCCUGCAAUUCUACAACGUACGAGAUUUGCCGUCAAUUCGCUUCGCCGCUUUUUUUGGCACGCAAAUUAUGAAAUGAAUACAACAAAAAUUAUUGAAUAAUCCGGUGAAAUAUGUUGAAUGCGUAAAACGUGUUUUUGAAACAGUUUUACAUUUACUAAAUAUAUAA